rnacentral:rRNA from 1 species
AUUGAACGCUAGCGGGAUGCUUUACACAUGCAAGUCGAACGAGUGGCGGACGGGUGAGUAAUAUAUCGGAACCUGCCUACUAGCGGGGGAUAACUACUCGAAAGAGAGCUAAUACCGCAUACCAUUGUAUAGGCCGAUCUCGGAUUAGCUAGUUGGUGGGGUAAAGGGUCACCAAGGCAACGAUCCGUAGCUGGUUUUAGAGGAUGACCAGCCACACUGGGACUGAGACACGGUCCAGACUCCUACGGGAGGCAGCAGUGGGGAAGUUUGGACAAUGGGGGAAAUCCUGAUGCAGCCAUCCCGCGUGUAUGAUGAAGGCCUUCGGGUUGUAAAGUACUUUUGGCAGAGAAGCGGUAUCCGCAGAAUAAGCACCGGCUAACUACGUGCCAGCCGCCGCGGUAAUUC